rnacentral:rRNA from 1 species
CCUACGGGAGGCAGCAGUGGGGAAUAUUGGGCAAUGGAGGAAACUCUGACCCAGCGACGCCGCGUGCGGGAUGAAGGCCUUCGGGUUGUAAACCGCUUUCAGCAGGGAAGAAGCGAAAGUGACGGUACCUGCAGAAGAAGCACCGGCUAACUAUGUGCCAGCAGCCGCGGUAAUACAUAGGGUGCAAGCGUUGUCCGGAAUUAUUGGGCGUAAAGAGCUCGUAGGUGGUUCGUCACGUCGGAUGUGAAAAUCUGGGGCUUAACCCCAGACCUGCAUUCGAUACGGGCGAGCUUGAGUAUGGUAGGGGAGUCUGGAAUUCCUGGUGUAGCGGUGGAAUGCGCAGAUAUCAGGAGGAACACCAAUGGCGAAGGCAGGACUCUGGGCCAUUACUGACACUGAGGAGCGAAAGCGUGGGGAGCGAACAGGAUUAGAUACCCUGGUAGUCCACGCCGUAAACGGUGGGCACUAGUUGUGGGGACCUUCCACGGUCUCUGCGACGCNGCUACGCAUAGUGCCCGCCGUCGGGAGGUACGAGUCGCGAGAAGUUAAACGUACGUAAAGUUAAGUUAGUACGGCGUUGAGACGUUGCCGACGGACGACGACGAGGGAGGAGG